rnacentral:rRNA from 2 species
GCAUAUCAAUAAGCGGAGGAAAAGAAACCAACAGGGAUUGCCCCAGUAACGGCGAGUGAAGCGGCAACAGCUCAAAUUUGAAAUCUGGCCUCACGGCCCGAGUUGUAAUUUGCAGAGGAUGCUUUUGGCGCGGCGCCUUCCGAGUGCCCUGGAACGGGACGCCAUAGAGGGUGAGAGCCCCGUCUGGUUGGAUGCCUAGCCUCUGUAAAGCUCCUUCGACGAGUCGAGUAGUUUGGGAAUGCUGCUCAAAAUGGGAGGUAUAUGUCUUCUAAAGCUAAAUACCGGCCAGAGACCGAUAGCGCACAAGUAGAGUGAUCGAAAGAUGAAAAGCACUUUGAAAAGAGGGUUAAAUAGUACGUGAAAUUGUUGAAAGGGAAGCGCUUGUGACCAGACUUGGGCUUGGUGAAUCAUCCGGCGUUCUCGCCGGUGCACUUUGCCUGUCCAGGCCAGCAUCAGUUCGCUUCGGGGGAUAAAGGCGUGGGGAAUGUGGCUCCCUCGGGAGUGUUAUAGCCCCGCGUGCAAUACCCUGAGGUGGACUGAGGUUCGCGCUCCGCAAGGAUGCUGGCGUAAUGGUCAUCAGCGACCCGUCUUGAAACACGGACCAAGGAGUCGUCUUCGUAUGCGAGUGUUCGGGUGUCAAACCCCUACGCGUAAUGAAAGUGAACGCAGGUGAGAGCUUCGGCGCAUCAUCGACCGAUCCUGAUGUUCUCGGAUGGAUUUGAGUAAGAGCAUACGGGGCCGGACCCGAAAGAAGGUGAACUAUGCCUGUAUAGGGUGAAGCCAGAGGAAACUCUGGUGGAGGCUCGCAGCGGUUCUGACGUGCAAAUCGAUCGUCAAAUAUGGGCAUGGGGGCGAAAGACUAAUCGAACCUUCUAGUAGCUGGGUUUCCGCCGA